GACGAACGCUGGCGGCGUGCCUAAUACAUGCAAGUUGAGCGCUGAAGGUUGGUAUUUGUACCAACUGGAUGAGCAGCGAACGGGUGAGUAACGCGUGGGGAAUCUGCCUUUGAGCGGGGGACAACAUUUGGAAACGAAUGCUAAUACCGCAUAAAAACUUUAAACACAAGUUUUAAGUUUGAAAGAUGCAAUUGCAUCACUCAAAGAUGAUCCCGCGUUGUAUUUGCUAGUUGGUGAGGUAAAGGCUCACCAAGGCGAUGAUACAUAGCCGACCUGAGAGGGUGAUCGGCCACAUUGGGACUGAGACACGGCCCAAACUCCUACGGGAGGCAGCAGUAGGGAAUCUUCGGCAAUGGACGAAAGUCUGACCGAGCAACGCCGCGUGAGUGAAGAAGGUUUUCGGAUCGUAAAACUCUGUUGGUAGAGAAGAACGUUGGUGAGAGUGGAAAGCUCAUCAAGUGACGGUAACUACCCAGAAAGGGACGGCUAACUACGUG
rnacentral:rRNA from 1 species